rnacentral:rRNA from 1 species
AGAGUUUGAUCCUGGCUCACGAUGAACGCUAGCGACAGGCCUAACACAUGCAAGUCGAGGGGCAGCACAAGGAGCAAUCUGAGGUGGCGACCGGCGCACGGGUGAGUAACACGUAUGCAACCUGCCUGUAAGCGGGGAAUAACCCGUUGAAAGACGGACUAAUACCGCAUAAUACUAAAUUACUGCAUGGUAAUUUAUUUAAACAUUUAUGGCUUACAGAUGGGCAUGCGCAUGAUUAGCUAGUUGGAGAGGUAACGGCUCCCCAAGGCAACGAUCAUUAGGGGUUCUGAGAGGAAGGUCCCCCACACUGGUACUGAGACACGGACCAGACUCCUACGGGAGGCAGCAGUGAGGAAUAUUGGUCAAUGGACGAGAGUCUGAACCAGCCAAGUCGCGUGCAGGAAGAAUGUCCUAUGGAUUGUAAACUGCUUUUGCAGGGGAAUAAAGUGAGCCACGUGUGGUUUUUUGUAUGUACUCUGCGAAUAAGGAUCGGCUAACUCCGUGCCAGCAGCCGCGGUAAUACGGAGGAUCCGAGCGUUAUCCGGAUUUAUUGGGUUUAAAGGGUGCGUAGGCGGGAUAAUAAGUCAGUGGUGAAAGUUUGCAGCUUAACUGUAAAAUUGCCGUUGAAACUGUUAUUCUUGAGAGUAGAUAAGGUAGGCGGAAUGUGUUGUGUAGCGGUGAAAUGCAUAGAUAUAACACAGAACCCCGAUUGCGAAGGCAGCUUACCGGGCUACAUCUGACGCUGAUGCACGAAAGCGUGGGGAUCAAACAGGAUUAGAUACCCUGGUAGUCCACGCAGUAAACGAUGAAUACUAGCUGUAUGCGAUAUACUGUAUGUGGCAAAGCGAAAGCAUUAAGUAUUCCACCUGGGGAGUACGUUCGCAAGAAUGAAACUCAAAGGAAAUUGACG